CUUCAAACGAAUUUACCACCGAUGUCUUCUGGUAUUAUUUUGAGCUUGCACUCAAAGAGUGAGAUGAUUAUUCAAAUAUUUUUCCCCAAAGCAUUUACAAAAGACACAGAGUUUGUGGAGAUACCAAUGUUAGGAAGAUCAUUCUUGUUUCUAUAUGAUCAGAAAAUAUACAACCCCAUCGAGGAAAGUGCCUCCAUUCAAGAAAUAGUUCUAGAAUGUCACCUAAUGUGUCAAGUAUUGUGUUUGUGCUGCCAGGGACAUAUGGCCCCUGCCCUUGAAUAGCCUACAACUGAUUCUGAAGGAAAAGGUGUGAUCAUAUAUAACCAUGAAACACAUUACAAUGGGUAAUGCAGUAACAUGGGAACCAUGGAGGGUUACAAUGGAUUGUUGGAUGAGAGUGCUGAUUCUCGCUGUGAAUGAGGCUUUGUGAUGAAAGUAGCAUGGCUGCUCUAUUUGAUUGGAGGAAACGGGGGAGCAGAACAUAAGCCCAGGCAUGACGUUAGCUGGGCAAGAGAAUUUUCUGCAAUCUCAGAGCGUGCUGGGAGAUAGGCUGGAAAAGGAGUUAGGGACCAGAUUAUGAAGGACUUGGAGUGUUGAGUUGAGAAGUGAAGACUUCAAGGAAUCAUUACUUAGUUCAAGGAACAUCAGUCAUGAAAUAUUCGUCAUCACCCAGCAUCCAUGCUGCUUGAAUGAGACCAUUCCUCCCCUUGAGGGUGUUACUGUCUAAGCUGGCCACUUCUCAGGAUUGUUUAUGAAAAGUGAGACAACACAGCAGAGAACACACUACGGGGUCCUUGCUGCAUUCGAUCUUCCUCUGGACAAAGGAAAGGUUUACUUACUGCUUACUAUAGAAGUGACGGAUUCCUUAGGUUCAGGGUUCUUCUGUGGUUAUGCUCCUCUGCACAUGCAUCUCCACCUGGAUGUCAGCAUUGUCCAGUCCCGGGAUUUGAGCUUCAAGGAACCAACAGGACUAUGAUAAUAAUCCUGCUACUGCUUUUAGUAAAGUAGUAAAGUCCUUUGUCUCUGACCUUGGAGUUUUGUGUCUUCUGUCAGCAUCCACAGAGUGUGGCAGGCUAACUUAUUUCUUGGUCUUCAUUUUGAUGGGGGUCCUCCUCCACUGCCAAACUGUCAAAGUAAGGUAAUGUCUUUACAGAUGACUUGUCCUGAGAGGCCAUUUCAUCAAAACCUUCCCCUCCAGUGGGAACUUGUGAAGCUGGCAUGGGCUGCAGGUGCUGGACAUCACCCAGCUUGUUCAUGUUCAUCUAGUGGCUGGAAGUGGCUUAAGAGAACUAUAAAGCUCCUAAUAGGACUACAGAGAAAUCCCCUUACCCAGUCUGCCUCACCUAAACAAGAAAGGAGAGUUUUGCCCCCAAGCACAGUCUUUGUAAUUGGAAGAGCAAGUACGUUCAUACCCACUUCCAUCUUCCAUUUCAGGUAGUGCUGACCAGACGCCUGUCCAGAUGGCAGGAGGGGUGGUUUUCUCUGCCAGGACCAUGUGACUAGCAAGUGGCAGGGGUGGGAUUGGCCACACUCUCAGCCACGAAGUCAACAGCCUCUGUAGUCACAACGAGGUGAUGAACAGUCCAUAAAAACACAAGAAGAAGCCAAGAGAUUCAGCUUCUCUGGUUUGUUUAUAAAACAAUUUAUCUUUCAACAAAAAUAACAAAUGGGGACGAGGAUUAAUAAUUUUGAUCCGAUGAAUUUCAUUUUGUGGUUUGAAAAUAUACACUUCUAAAUUCAAAAAGUAUGGAGGAAUGUACUGGAAUGCCAAUGUAAUGAUUCUCUGAGAGUGCAAGGAAGGUGAGGAUCUUGAGCAUUUGUGGAAAUCACAGUUCUGGUUUCUAGCAGGGGAGAAGGUUGCUGGCCAUCUUAAUCAAAGAUGGAAUUUACUGGAACCCCUGCAGGAGCUCAGAGACAAAGCUGGAGGACAGAGCUUGGGAACUGGACAUACAUCAAGGUGUAGAGAUUUCGCUGGUGACUUCGGGAAGAUGUGUACCAACAGAAUUAAGUUCUCUGGAAGCAUGACCAGACCAGAAUCAACGUAUUGUAAAGUCUGAUUAUGAAUACAUUCAUCUAGGAAUUUUGCCGGUAUGCAGUUUGAAAGAGGGCUAUGCACAUACUUCAUUUCCUCUUACUUCUGUAGGGGAGUUCCUUUGGCUGACUUCCAAAGGGAAUGCAUUUAAAUCAC
rnacentral:lncRNA from 1 species